rnacentral:lncRNA from 1 species
GAGGGUGUUAGGGUGUUUGUUUACGUAGGAGCUCCUAAAAUUUCUAUCACAUCGAAUGUUUCAAUACUAAUUAGGAGUAUUAAAUAUAGACUAAUUACAAAACCAAUAGCACUAAAGGAGGCUAAUUUGCGAGACAAAUCUAUUAAGCCUAAUUAGUCCAUAAUUUGAUAAUGUGAUGCUACAGUAAACAUUUGCUAAUAAUAGACCAAUUAGGCUUAAUAGAUUCCUCUCGCGAAUUAGCCUCCAUCUAUGUAAUUAGUUUUAUAAUUAGCUCAUGUUCAAUCCUCCUAAUUGGUAUCCGAAUAUUCGAUGUGACAUAAAUUUUAGUCCAGACUAAAGAUCCAAACACCCUCUAAAUUU